rnacentral:rRNA from 1 species
UACGAAGGGGGCUAGCGUUGUUCGGAAUUACUGGGCGUAAAGCGCACGCAGGCGGACUGAUCAGUCAGGGGUGAAAUCCCGGGGCUUAACCUCGGAACUGCCUUUGAUACUGUCAGUCUUGAGUCCGGGAGAGGUGAGUGGAAUUCCUAGUGUAGAGGUGAAAUUCGUAGAUAUUAGGAAGAACACCAGUGGCGAAGGCGGCUCACUGGCCCGGAACUGACGCUCAGGUGCGAAAGCGUGGGGAGCAAACAGG